rnacentral:rRNA from 1 species
AUUGAACGCUGGCGGCAGGCCUAACACAUGCAAGUCGAACGGUAACAGAAAGAAGCUUGCUUCUUUGCUGACGAGUGGCGGACGGGUGAGUAAUGUCUGGGAAACUGCCUGAUGGAGGGGGAUAACUACUGGAAACGGUAGCUAAUACCGCAUAACGUCGCAAGACCAAAAAGGGGGACCUUCGGGCCUCUUGCCAUCGGAUGUGCCCAGAUGGGAUUAGCUAGUAGGUGGGGUAACGGCUCACCUAGGCGACGAUCCCUAGCUGGUCUGAGAGGAUGACCAGCCACACUGGAACUGAGACACGGUCCAGACUCCUACGGGAGGCAGCAGUGGGGAAUAUUGCACAAUGGGCGCAAGCCUGAUGCAGCCAUGCCGCGUGUAUGAAGAAGGCCUUCGGGUUGUAAAGUACUUUCAGCGGGGAGGAAGGGAGUAAAGUUAAUACCUUUGCUCAUUGACGUUACCCGCAGAAGAAGCACCGGCUAACUCCGUG